rnacentral:lncRNA from 1 species
ACAUAUUCGUGUGAUGAAACAUCAUAAUACAAAACAAAAUUUGGAAGGAGGAGGGAAACCUAGUACAUAUAUGUAUACAUAACUUAAAACACCGUGCAACUACUCCAAUCACAGAUUAAAGCCUUAGAACCGAUCAUCAAGGUGGAUUCCAAACUAAUUAACCCCAAAGAGGAAAAAAGAGAAUCAAGUAAACAAGAAGUUACAAGUUAUUGUUAAAAGAAAUGAGAAUAUAGAGAAUGGAUGAAUUGAGG